UUUGCUGAGGGCUAAGAAGUGCUCCCAACAUAAGAAAGCAGAGAAGCCUAGCAUGGCCCCUGUAUAAGGAUGAUAUGCCAAUUCAUCAAAUGUUCCACAUUUUA